rnacentral:lncRNA from 1 species
AGAACCCAAAGGAAAAGAGCCAGGGUGCGGAUUGGCAGAAGCUAUUCUGGCCCAUGUGCAGAGCAUCAAGAAUGUGUGCUGCAAAAGGGAGAAGAGAAAAAAGUGCAUGAAGUAAAGAAAAAGCAGGGAAUGAGAGAAAAAAAUGGAGGAGUGAGUGCCACAGCCCAGUCAGUAAGUGCUACAUGGAGUCUCACUCUGUCGCCAGGCUGGAGUGCAGUCAGCUCACUGCAACCUCCACCUCCCGGGUUCAAGAGAUUCUCCUGCCUCAGACUCCUGAGUAGCUGGGACUACAGAUAUUUAGAAAUUAUUACAGGAACUUUUUCUGGACAGACAAGAACCUAAGUCUGAACAUCUAAAAGGCUCACAAAGAAUCAAGCAAAUUUAUUGAAAGAGACCAAUACUUAUUAGACCUAUCUUCGUGAACUGAAGAUCGAGAAAAAAAUUCCAAGAGGCAUUUGGACAGAAAAGCAUGUUGACUCCACAGGAACAAAAAUCAAACUGCAUUCAAAAUUCUCCUCUGCAAUGUCUAAUAGCAGGAGAAAUAAAAUAGUACCAACAGAGCUUCAAGGGAAAAAGACUGCAUUCUAAGAAUCCUAUAUUUAGGAAGUUGUUCAAGUGAAAGGGUAAUGGAAGAAAUGUUCUUAGAUGUGCAACUCACUGUUAUAACCUUUUAAACAAAGCCCUCGAAGACCUGAUUUAACUGACAGUGAAUGAAUCUAAAUACAGAGCUGUGGGAUGUGAGAGUCACAUCAGUGACCACUGAAACAAGUAUAAAGAAAAUUAAGUCUAGAUGAUUGUUUUACAUAUAAUUAUAAAACAGAAUAAAAGUGUAAAACGCAACUCUUGGAAGAGGAUAUUUAUAGUAUAAAAAUGGCCUAAUUAUAAUAAUUUGAACCUAAUGUUUUGCCGCACAAAAAUAGAAAUGAAGGAGAUAGAAUGGUAGGAGAAAACACUUAUUUCCUCAUUAUUCCCAAGAGGGAUAUUAUUUAACUCUUGAUAAAGAUAACUGGAAAUACAAACAGGAUGUAUCCUUUCUAAAUUACUAAAAAAAAAAAAAAACAAAAAAAACAAAGAAAAUAAAUUCCAUGUAACAAUCAUACUUUAUGUAA